UCUGCCCUUUCCUGCCUUGGAGCUUGGUGCAGUGCAUUAUUUGGUUGUGGAAAUCGGCAGUACCUCCUACGUCUGGUAAUUGCCUGGAGUGAGUCCUGUUUCCCCCUCACCAGAUGUUUCCUUAGAGCUGCUCUAAGUGAUACAUCGAUCCUGCAUGAGCUCCAAGGAGCAGCCAAGCCAUUCUGCAGGAAGAGAGCGGGUGAAGGAGGAACAGGCAGAAAUGUACAAAUGAGUUCUGGUGGGAGACCAUCAGUGCAUCGUGGAUGCUGUCCAGAGGCUAACAUCUCCUACUCCCCCAUCUUGGUGACAUCACUCACUAACACAUCGUUAAGGAUUUUUCAUUUAUAUUCAUGAGGGAUAGUGGUCUUGUCUUUGCAUGUGAUGUCUUCACUUGCCAUUGAAAUUAAGGUGACUCUGGCCUAAUAGAAUGAUGUGAGACCAGCUCUCUCCUUCUAAUAUUUUCUGAAAUAGAUGGUGGGAGAUUGGGAUUAUUUUCUCCAUUAAUAGUCAAUGGAAUUCACCAGUUGAGUCAUCUGAAUCUGGGCUUUUCUUCCCUGAAAGGGUUUUAAUUAGUAAUUUAACUUUCUUGUUUGUUACAGAUCUAUGGAGAUUUUCUAUUUCUCUUUGAGUCAGUUUUGGAAAUUUGGAUCUAAGAAUUUGCCAAUAUCUUAUAAAUUGUCUAAUUUGUGGCAUAAAGUUGUUCAUAAUAUUCUCUUAUAAUCCUUUAAUUUCUCUGUGGGUGUCCCUUUCUAAUUUCUGAUUUUGGUAAAUUCUAUCUUCUCUCUUCCUUGGGGAUGCUAGCUAAGGGAUUGUCAACUUUAUGUGGUAAACAGCCAAUUUCUGGUUUUAUUGAUGUUUGUGUUUUGUAUUUCACAGACAUGUGUUCUAAUCUUUUGUAUUUCCUUUCUUUUGCUUGUUUUCAGUUUGGUUUAUUUUCCUUUCUUUCCUUUCUUAGGGUAGGAACUUAAAUUAUUGAUUUGAGACUUUCCUCUCUUCCACUAUAGGUGUUUAAUACUCUAAAUUUCUCUCUAAGUACUGCUUUAGGGCACAUCCCAUAGACUUUGAUAUUCUAUUUUUUAAAUUUUCAUUCACUUCAAAGUACUUUCAAAUUUUGUUCCCAAUUUAUUCUUUGACUCAUAUGUUAUUCAGAUGGGUGUCAUUUAAGUUCCAAAUGUUUGUGGAUAUCCCAGAUAUAUUCCAUUCUUGAUAGCUCACAUUCCAUUGUAGUUGGAGAACAUAUUUUAUAUAAUUUCGUUCUUGCUAAAUCUGUUGAAUUUAUUUGAUGGCUGAGUACACGGUCUAUCCUGGAGCAUGUUCCAUGUGGUAUUGAAAAGAAUGUGUGUUUUGUAGUCAUUGAGUGCAGUGAUCUAUACACCUCACUUAAUUUAAUUUGGUUGAUAGUGCUGUUCAAGUCUUGUAUAACCUUGGUGAUUGUCUUUCCUCUUUUUAAUCCAUUAUGGACAGGAGGCAGUUGAAAUUUCCAAGUAUUGUUGAAUUGUCUCUUUCUCCUUUCAUUUCUGUCAAAUUUUACUUCACGUAUCUUGAAGCUCUGUUGUUACAUUUGUAAGCAUUGAUAAUUUUUAUAUCUUUCUGAUUUAAUGACAUUUUGUCAUUUGGAUAUGUCCCUCUUUGCUUCUAAUAAUAUUUCUUGUUUUAAAAUCUACAUUGUCCAGUAUUAACACAACCCUCCAGCAAUCUUUUGGUAACUAUUUGUGUGAUGUGUCUUUUCCAUCCUUCUAGCUUCAACUUCUGUUUGUCUUUGAAUCUAAGAUGUGUCUUUUGUAGAUCACGUACAGUUGGAUCUUGCUUUAUUAUUCAUUUUCCCAAUCUCUGUCUUCUAAUUGUUUUUUUUAGACCAUUCACAUUUAGUGCAGUUAUUGAUAGGAUCAGAGUUACAUUUGCCAUUUUGCUAUUUGUUUUCUGUGUCUUCAGGCUUUUUUGUUCUCUGUCCUUCCUUUAUUAACUUCUUUUGUGCUAAAUAAAUCUUUCAGUAUAUCAUUUUAAUUCCUCUAUUGAAUAUUUUUUACUGUUUUUGAGCUAUUUUCCUAGUGUCUGUGGUAGGGAUUCCAAUAUGCAUUUUAACUGACUAUGGUCCAUUUCAAACGAAUAUUAACUUAAUUCCUAUGAAAUAUAGAAUGUUUCCUCCAAUGUAACUCUGUUACUUUCCCCUCUUGUGCUCUUGUUUUUAUAUAUAUUAUAUCUAUAUAUGUUACAAAACCAAUACUAGAAUGUUACAAUUAUUUCUUUGUACAAUCUCAUGUCUUUUAAAGAAUUUAACAGAAGAAAUGAGAAAAUAUAUUUAUAGAUUCUUUUUUUUAAAACCCAGAAAUUUAUUACUUCUGGCUCUCUUAAUUUCUUCCAGCUGAUUCGAGGUACUGUCUGAUGUCAUUUUCUUCCAGCCCAAAGAAUUUCCUUUAGUAUUUCUCACAAUUCAGUUCUGAUAUCAAGAAAUUCUUCCAGUCCUUUUAAAUUUAAGAAUGUCCUUAUUUCACCUUUAUAAUUAGUGGAUAGUCUUGCUGGAUAAAAAAAUUCUUCGUUACCAUUUUUUCUUUCAGUAUUUUGAAUAUGCCAUUUCACUGCCUUCUAGGGUCUAUUUUCUCUGAUGAGCAGUUAGAUAUUAUUUAUGUUGAUGCUCUCCUGUACAUGUUCAGUUGUUUUUCUCUUUUCUUAAGAUUUUCUCUUUGUGUGUGGCUUCCAACAGUUUGACUAUGAUGUGUCUAGGUAAAACUAUAUCUUUGUAUUUAUCCUACUUGGAGUUCAGUAAGCUUCUUGGAUGUGUAAAUUAACAUUGUUUCAUCAACUUUGGGAAGUUUUGGACAUUAUUUCUUCAAACAAUUACAAUAACUAUUAGAUCCACAAUUUGAGGAGGUGUAUUACAUGAGAUUUGGGACAUUUACUGGGAACUGGGAAGUCUAGGAACCUGGAAAUUGGAAUGAUUACAUGUAUUUGGAUUCACAUAUAGCUGAACUCAUUGGGCACAAUGAGUCUCCCUUGAUUUCAUAAGCAGUUGUUUCUCCCUGUGUGAGGCUGUUCCUUCAUUGCUGGUAUUCAACUAUAGGAUGAAUCUCAAAAUCAUUAUCCUGAGUGUAAAAAAAGCCACACAAAAAUACACUGUAUGAUUCCUUUUGCAUGAAACCCUAAAAAGAUAAAACUAAUCUAAUAUUGACAGGUGUAGAGAGAAACAGUUCCCAGAUGGAGGUGUCUGAACAGUUUGAAAAGUGAUCCAAUAUACUGGGGCUCUCAAUAGAUUGCCUCAAUUACUCACUCAGAUAAGGUUUGAAUACAAGAAUAUCUUCAAGAGGGACAUUAUGUUCCUCAAUAUUUUAUAAAAUGAUCACUAGCCAUAUGAGGGUGAAUGCCAGGUAAGUACACCUCCCCCAAUUACUGCGAGGAUGGAUCAGUGUGAGGUCAAGAUUAAGGUGAAGAAAUUGUAUUCCUUCACUUACAUGGAUUUACCGAGCAUCUAGGAAGCCCAAAGUUAUUAUCAGAGGAGAAGGAUAUGGUCAAACAUAUACUACUACUUGGUCAGAACAGAUGUUCUAAACUCUGUGCACUUUGCCUGGCAGGUGUACACUUGCCUCUGCACAGCUUUGAGGCUUAUUAGACAGUUCAAGUUUGUUGUACCUGCCACACACUCUG
rnacentral:lncRNA from 1 species